UACGGAGGGUGCGAGCGUUGUCCGGAUUUAUUGGGUUUAAAGGGUGCGUAGGCGGCCUGGUAAGUCGGCGGUGAAAGCCCGGGGCUCAACCCCGGAACUGCCAUCGAUACUGUCAGGCUUGAGUACGGGUGAGGCUGGCGGAAUGGGCGGUGUAGCGGUGAAAUGCAUAGAUACCGUCCAGAACCCCGAUUGCGAAGGCAGGUGACUACGUUUGAUUUGACACUGAGGCACGAAAGCAUGGGGAGCAAACAGGG
rnacentral:rRNA from 1 species